GCGGAUAUGGCGGAAUUGGCAGACGCGCCAGAUUUAGGUUCUGGUCCGGGAGGGUGCAGGUUCAAGUCCUGUUAUCCGCA
rnacentral:tRNA from 2 species